GGAUUAGAUACCCUGGUAGUCCUAGCUGUAAACGAUGGAUACUAGACGUAGGAACUGGAUUGACGGUUUCUGUGUCGUAGCUAACGCGUUAAGUAUCCCGCCUGGGGAGUACGGUCGCAAGACUAAAACUCAAAGGAAUUGACGGGACCCCGCACAAGCAGUGGAGCAUGUGGUUUAAUUCGAUGCAACGCGAAGAACCUUACCAGGCCUUGACAUCCUCGGAACUUUCUAGAGAUAGAUUGGUGCCUUCGGGAACCGAGUGACAGGUGCUGCAUGGCUGUCGUCAGCUCGUGCCG
rnacentral:rRNA from 1 species